AACACAACUUAUUUAUUAUUGUAUCUAAAGCUGAAGGGUCAUUCUUCUAUUCUCAUAUUGACGUCCACAGAUUUUAGACGGAUAAGGUGCACACAUACUGUGUUGGAAAAUUUGGCUGGAAAAGGUAACCAUUUGCUGAAAAUUUCGCUAGAGAAGAUCCAAGUAAUUACGGUGUUGCAGCCUACAGAAGAAGAAUUAUAGACAUUAUGGUAUAGAAGUUUGUCAUUGCCAAUGGACGAUGAACAUAAUAUAUUAGAUGGUAUUGUGAAUGGGCAAUUAGAUAAUGUAGUACCAAAAUUCUCGAAUAAUAUAUAUGUGGAGCAAACAACUAUUCUCGGUAUUUCGGGAACUUCUACCGGAGCUGGGUGCAGUUCUGCUUCUGGUGGUUCCAACUAUGUAACUGAAGAAAAAAUGGAAGAAAUGUUGAGAAUCUAUAAGCAACAUAACAUAUCAGAUAUGUCUGGUUUAUGUUACAAUUUGAAGGCUGAAAUUCUUGAAGAAUCAAAAAGUCAUUACUAUACGAUUCUUAACAACCAAAAACAGUUGUUUGAAGAACAGAAGAAAUGGCAAUAUGAUUACAUGCAGUCUAGUAUGCAUUCUUAUAUGGACAGUUCAUUAUCAAGUUUGUUUGAUAAACAUGGUGUUGAUGAAUCGCAGAAACAAGAAGAUCGUUAUCAGAGCAUGCAGUCUCAUGUGGAUAUCAGUGUGGCUUCUGUGUGAUCUUAUGUUGAUGAACAAAAUGAGAACUUAUUCAAGAAAUUUUCUGAUUGGAAAUCAAACAUAGAAGCCAUUAUAAGCUAUACACAAUACGAAAUCCUAUUGGUAGAGGUUUAAUUCUUGAUGAUCAACCAAAGAAUGUGUCUAUGUCUGAAUAGGCCGGAAGUUUUUUGAAACGUUUAGAAGAGAGAAGAAAAGGAAGGGAAAACAAAUACAAUUUUCGCCGUCUAAAGGUUAUCCUUUGGAAGACUAUUCUAUGGAAAAGUAUUCGAUACUUAAAAAUUGGAUAGCGAAUAAUGAAUCGAGGUGAAAAAAAAAUCAUUAUUAGUUUAAAUACAAAAAAAAAUUCCGAUUUAUUCAAUACUAAUUUUAAUUAUGCUAUGCAGUGCAUUAUAGGAAGAGUGUUGGGUACAUGUAUGGAAGAGAUUGGUUGAAAGAUUUAUUGGAUCAAACAAAUGAUAUAAAUGUUAUGACAAUUGAGCUGGAGUUGAAGUUUUUGAGGCGACUUAUCAAUAAUGGUUGCACUCUUGUGUCUAAAGAAAAUGCCAUCAUAGACUUUAAAUUUGAAAAUAAGUGUGCUAAUAUGAUGAUUUGGCAAAGGGAUUACGUCAUUAGAAUUAAUAAAGGUAUACCAGAUGGGACCGUUUUAAAUCAAUAUGCCAACGACAGAUUGUCUGUAGAGAGUCGUCCAUGGGUAGGGUGUAAGUAUUUGUUAAUUCCAUGCUCAUAU